CCUACGGGAGGCAGCAGUAGGGAAUCUUCCGCAAUGGACGAAAGUCUGACGGAGCAACGCCGCGUGAGCGAUGAAGGCCUUCGGGUCGUAAAGCUCUGUUGUUAGGGAAGAAUAAGUGCUAGUUGAAUAAGCUGGCACCUUGACGGUACCUAACCAGAAAGCCACGGCUAACUACGUGCCAGCAGCCGCGGUAAUACGUAGGUGGCAAGCGUUGUCCGGGAAUUAUUGGGCGUAAAGCGCGCGCAGGCGGUUUCUUAAGUCUGAUGUGAAAGCCCCCGGCUCAACCGGGGAGGGUCAUUGGAAACUGGGAAACUUGAGUGCAGAAGAGGAAAGUGGAAUUCCAAGUGUAGCGGUGAAAUGCGUAGAGAUUUGGAGGAACACCAGUGGCGAAGGCGACUUUCUGGUCUGUAACUGACGCUGAGGCGCGAAAGCGUGGGGAGCAAACAGGAUUAGAUACCCUGGUAGUCCACGCUGUAAACGAUGAGUGCUAAGUGUUAGAGAGGUUUCCGCCCCUUUUGAGUGCUGAAGUUAACGCAUUAAGCACUCCGCCUGGGGAGUACGGUCGCAAGACUGAAACUCAAAGGAAUUGACGGGGGCCCGCACAAGUGGUGGAGCAUGUGGUUUAAUUCGAAGCAACGCGAAGAACCUUAC
rnacentral:rRNA from 1 species